GGGCAGGUGGCCGAGCGGUUUAAGGCACCGGUCUUGAAAACCGGCGUUGGGGUGACUCAACCGUGGGUUCGAAUCCCACCCUGCCCGCCA
rnacentral:tRNA from 1 species